rnacentral:rRNA from 1 species
UGCCAGCCGCCGCGGUAAGACGAACCGUCCAAACGUUAUUCGGAAUCACUGGGCUUAAAGGGUGCGUAGGCGGCUUGGAAAGUUGGGUGUGAAAUCCCUCGGCUCAACCGAGGAACUGCGCUCAAAACUGCCAAGCUAGAGGGAGAUAGAGGUGAGCGGAACUAAUGGUGGAGCGGUGAAAUGCGUUGAUAUCAUUAGGAACACCGGUGGCGAAAGCGGCUCACUGGAUCUCUUCUGACGCUGAGGUGCGAAAGCCAGGGUAGCGAACGGGAUUAGAUA